rnacentral:tRNA from 1 species
GCUGGGGUGGCGGAACCUGGCAACGCGCUAGACUGCUAAUCUAGUUCCCUUUCCGGGAGUUCGGGUUCAAAUCCCGACCCCAGCG